GAAAUGCGAUACGUAGUGUGAAUUGCAGAAUUCCGUGAAUCAUCGAAUCUUUGAACGCAAACUGCGGUCCCGAGGCUUCGGCUUCGGACCACGCCUGUUUGAGGGUCAGUAAACCAUCUCAUAUGCAUAUGUAUGUAUGUAUGUAUGUAUGUAUGUAUGUAUGUAUGCUUAUGGAAUAUGCGAGUCACAUUUCUUUUGUGAUGAUGUGUCUUGUUAAAUGUAGAGAGGCUUGGGUGUUAUCAAUAGAAAAAUCCCUCUUCUCUUUUUUUUUUCUCAGUGAGAUAGCUGCCACGUGCAGAUAUCGCUGGUGAAAAAAAACAAAAAGUAAGAAUUGGUGAUGGAUAACAUUUUUUUUUCCCAUAUGGCCCUAUAUCUCUCUUUUUUUAUUUAUUUUUUGGUUUGUUGUCAACAACAACAACAACAUCAAUCGAAAAAUAAAUUUAAAAAAAAGAUCCUUUCAUUACACUUGACCUCAAAUCAGACGAGACUACCCGCUGAACUUAAGC
rnacentral:misc_RNA from 1 species